rnacentral:rRNA from 1 species
GACGAACGCUGGCGGCGCGCCUAAUACAUGCAAGUCGAACGAAGCUGUUUUAACUGGUGCUUGCACCGACUUAAACAACUGAGUGGCGAACGGGUGAGUAACACGUGGGUAACCUGCCCCAAAGCGGGGGAUAACAUUUGGAAACAGAUGCUAAUACCGCAUAACCACAGAAACCACAUGGUUUCUGUGUCAAAGAUGGUUUCGGCUAUCACUUUGGGAUGGACCCGCGGCGUAUUAGCUAGUUGGUAAGGUAAUGGCUUACCAAGGCAAUGAUACGUAGCCGAACUGAGAGGUUGAUCGGCCACAUUGGGACUGAGACACGGCCCAAACUCCUACGGGAGGCAGCAGUAGGGAAUCUUCCACAAUGGACGAAAGUCUGAUGGAGCAACGCCGCGUGAGUGAAGAAGGUUUCCGGAUCGUAAAACUCUGUUGUCAGAGAAGAACGUGUGCGAGAGUAACUGCUCGUGCAGUGACGGUAUCUGGCCAGAAGCCACGGCUAACUACGUGCCAGCCGCCGCAGUAA